ensembl:lncRNA
UGUAUGUAUGUAUGUAUGUAUGUAUGUAUGUGUAUAUAUAUAUAUAUAUAUAUAUAUAUAUAAAACAACCAUCUGAGGAGAACUAUGCUGUAGCCUAUAUGUUUUACCACUUGGCCUUUGACCUUUAAUGACAAAAUCUCUUUAAAGCUAUUUCCCUCAGAUUCACUGUUUGUGUAGACUGCUCUUUGCCUUUGUAGGGCAGUUCAGGUGGCUGCCCUGCCCUUUCCCUUAGACUGCCUCAUGUCCCUCAUUUCAACGUGGUACACCUUCCUGAAAACAAUGGCACUAUACUUAGCUUAAAACUGUUCUGCUAGUUCAUCUCCUUAAAGAUUAGAAUGUUCCAAUGUGGUUAGCGAAAAAUAUGAAAGAUAGUUCACACAUUUAUAAUUCACGACAGGGUUAUCAUCCAUUAGAUAUGUCCCAUUUCUGGCUCGUCCAUAACAUGUUUCCUGCUUGUAGCAGGGCGUGUUCACAGGAAACCCUUCUCUAACUAUAAGUCACAUGAUUUAAUGAGAAAAGGUUUCUGCAUUGAUGGUGUGUAAUGUCAAAGUUAAACACACACACACAUAGGCUACUAUUUACUCUAGCUGUCAUUUGACUUUAUUAGUUUUAGCUUCCUUAUACUCUCUGAGGACACAUCUCUCAAGUGACAUUGUAAUUGCAAUUUCCAGGUGAUUAAAAGGUAGAGCAGUUGUUGGUAAAGUCAAUCAAAAAUCAAUCUGGUUCAUUAUAAGUUGCAAUAGGGAGACACCUCCAGCCCAGAAGCAGAGAAAAUAUCUAAUUGGCCUCUAGGAGACAGGCCCUUUAUUUCUCAUUCAGACAGCACCAAAUGUUCUGUAAACACCAGCCUCUUGGAGACAGGCCCUUUAUAUCCUAAUCAGACAGCACCAGAUAAACACCAGCCUCUUGGAGACAGGCCCUUUAUAUCCUAAUCAGACAGCACCAGAUAAACACCAGCCUCUUGGAGACAGGCCCUUUAUAUCCUAAUCAGACAGCACCAGAUAAACACCAGCCUCUUGGAGACAGGCCCUUUAUAUCCUAAUCAGACAGCACCAGAUAAACACCAGCCUCUUGGAGACAGACCCUUUAUAUCCUAAUCAGACAGCACCAGAUAAACACCAGCCUCUUGGAGACAGACCCUUUAUAUCCUAAUCAGACAGCACCAGAUAAACACCAGCCUCUUGGAGACAGGCCCUUUAUAUCCUAAUCAGACAGCACCAAAUGUUCUGUAUACACCAGCCUCUUGGAGACAGACCCUUUAUUUCCUAAUCAGACAGCACCAAAUGUUCUGUAUACACCAGGUGCAAAAAUACUAAUUUAUUUAAAAUUUUCUACCCAAAAUAGAGUCUCAUGAACAUGACAGGGACAAAGCCCAAAACAAAAAUGUAUAUAGAUAACACAGGGCUGUGACCCAAACAAAGAGCGAAUUGUAAACCUGAA